rnacentral:rRNA from 1 species
UACGAAGGGUGCAAGCGUUACUCGGAAUUACUGGGCGUAAAGGGUGCGUAGGCGGUUAUUUAAGUCUGCCGUGAAAUCCCCGGGCUCAACCUGGGAAUGGCGGUGGAUACUGGAUAGCUAGAGUGUGUCAGAGGAUGGUGGAAUUCCCGGUGUAGCGGUGAAAUGCGUAGAGAUCGGGAGGAACAUCAGUGGCGAAGGCGGCCAUCUGGGACAACACUGACGCUGAAGCACGAAAGCGUGGGGAGCAAACAGG